AUUUAAUAUACUUUAUUCAUUUGUUCACACAGGUAUGAUUUUUUUUCCAGUUACGGGUAUGAUAUCGGUAACACGCUACGGGAGUUCAUACAGCUUUGCAGCUGUCUGUUAGUCAGUCGGCAGCAGAAUACGUCUACCAAUGAAGUCAAUAGGGAAGGACCUUAGCAGGCUUCUGGAUGUGCUGCAGAGGAGUUCUCAUGAUAACCAUAAAAUACCAGCAACGAUAGGUUUUUAUGGCUAGAGCGUAUGCUACACAUAUACUACAAAUUUCCCCUAUCAAUGGAGAAAACCACUUCAACCAAUACAUAUUUACAUGUACAACCAAAGACUCCAAUUUGUCCAAAAGUAAGAGAAAUAACUGUAACUAGGACUGAGAGGAAGGAAAUGUACCACAAUGACAGAGGUGAAAGCAGUAAACAU